rnacentral:rRNA from 1 species
AUGACAAAUAUGGUUCGAUGGCUCUUCUCUACUAACCACAAGGAUAUUGGGACUCUCUAUUUCAUCUUCGGUGCCAUUGCAGGAGUGAUGGGCACAUGCUUCUCCGUACUGAUUCGUAUGGAAUUAGCCCGACCCGGCGAUCAAAUUCUUGGUGGGAAUCAUCAACUUUAUAAUGUUUUAAUAACGGCUCAUGCUUUUUUAAUGAUCUUUUUUAUGGUUAUGCCGGCGAUGAUAGGUGGAUUUGGUAAUUGGUUUGUUCCGAUUCUGAUAGGUGCACCUGACAUGGCAUUUCCACGAUUAAAUAAUAUAUCAUUCUGGUUGUUGCCACCAAGUCUCUUGCUCCUAUUAAGCUCGGCCUUAGUAGAAGUGGGCAGCGGCACUGGGUGGACAGUCUAUCCGCCCUUAAGUGGUAUUACCAGCCAUUCUGGAGGAGCAGUUGAUUUAGCAAUUUUUAGUCUUCAUCUAUCAGGUAUUUCAUCAAUUUUAGGUUCUAUCGAUUUUAUAACAACUAUCUUCAACAUGCGUGGACCUGGAAUGACUAUGCAUAGAUUACCACUUUUUGUGUGGUCCGUUCUAGUGACAUCAUUCCUACUUUUAUUAUCACUUCCGGUACUGGCGGGGGCAAUUACAAUGUUAUUAACCGAUCGAAACUUUAAUACAACCUUUUUUGAUCCUGCAGGAGGGGGAGACCCAAUAUUAUACCAGCAUCUCUUUUGGUUCUUCGGUCAUCCAGAGGUGUAUAUUCUCAUUCUGCCUGGUGUAUAA